CCCUGGUGGCUGCGAUGGUAAAGAAUCUGCCUGCAGUGCAGGAGACCCGGGUUUGAUUCCUGGACCAGGAA
rnacentral:tRNA from 1 species